UACGGAGGGUGCAAGCGUUAAUCGGAAUUACUGGGCGUAAAGCGCGCGUAGGUGGUUUGAUAAGCGAGAUGUGAAAAGCCCCCGGGGCUUAAACCUGGGGAACGGCAUUUUCGAACUGUCAGGCUAGAGUAUGGUAGAGGAGUGUGGAAUUUUCCUGUGUAGCGGUGAAAAUGCGUAGAUAUAGGAAGGAACACCAGUGGCGAAGGCGGCACUCUGGACCAAUACUGACACUGAGGUGCGAAAGCGUGGGGAGCAAACAGGAUUAGAUACCCCGGUAGUCC
rnacentral:rRNA from 1 species